CCAGCAUCAUGUGACAUGGUCACAUGUCACUGUAAGACUGCUAGUCUCCAUUCUUCCUGGGUUGGCCCACACAUACACUGGAAGGUUUGCAGAUAAAUAAACCAUUUACAACCAAUUGUCCUAGUGAAUUGGAGCCAUCAAGAUUCUAAACCACCAUUAAGGGCCCACACUUUACAUAAUUACAAUAGGACCUCAGAGCUAUACUUCUUAUUUCUAGCUUCAGAUACAAGAAUGAUCCAUGCACACAAAUAGAAGGAAUAUAUUCUGUAGGUUAUAACCUUCGUUAUGAUAACUUACAAGAGACCUUUUGAAUAAAGCAUUUUCCAGUUACAUCAGAUUCACACUCCUAAGCGUAUUUCCAUAAAACAUAUGGAGUGCAACGUCACAGUGGUUUACUGUCUUUCUUUUAGAUUUCACAUCUGCUCCAACAAUCAUCGUGUCCGAGCCGUGCAACAUUUCAACCCCCAGCUUCGAAGAGCCGAAUGAGGAGAAAAACAUAAAGACACUAUCCGCUGCCCUGCUGGGUUUGGAAAUUGUGCUUGCAAAGAGCAUCCUCUUUAAUGUGCUCAUGAUUGCAAGAUUAGUCUUUGAGGUUCGCGAGAAGGAGCGAGGAAGGACCUGAGAAAUAAUAUAAACAAAGAUGACAGAAAUUUUGCUUUAAUUAUAUCCACUGCUUUUGAUACUGACAAUUAGUCUGCAUUUAUUGUUGCUAUGAAUAGAUUUUUAACAAGCUAAUUUUGCUUAAAGAAUUGUAAAGUUACAAUAGUGACUUCAGCAUUAAGAUUGGAGGAGAGUUUCUAUUUUAAAGUUUAUUUUGUAUUCCCUCAAAACUUUCCCUGCCCCUUGAAAAAAAAUCCUAUCUUUAGUGCAAACCUACCAUGUUUCUUAGGCUAGAAUAGGAUGUUUG